rnacentral:rRNA from 1 species
AUUGAACGCUGGCGGCAGGCCUAACACAUGCAAGUCGAGCGGAUGAGGAAAGCUUGCUUUUCGAUUCAGCGGCGGACGGGUGAGUAAUGCCUAGGAAUCUGCCUGUUAGUGGGGGAUAACCCGGGGAAACUCGGGCUAAUACCGCAUACGUCCUACGGGAGAAAGUGGGGGAUCUUCGGACCUCACGCUAACAGAUGAGCCUCGGUCGGAUUAGCUAGUAGGUGAGGUAAUGGCUCACCUAGGCGACGAUCCGUAACUGGUCUGAGAGGAUGAUCAGUCACACUGGAACUGGGACACGGUCCAGACUCCUACGGGAGGCAGCAGUGGGGAAUAUUGGACAAUGGGGGCAACCCUGAUCCAGCCAUGCCGCGUGAGUGAAGAAGGCCUUCGGGUUGUAAAGCUCUUUCGGCCGGGAAGAAAUCGCAUAGGUUAAUACCCUGUGUGGAUGACGGUACCGGAAUAAGAAGCACCGGCUAACUACGUGCCAGCCGCCGCCGUAAAAC